GGUAAUUUAAAAUAAAAUCUCAAGGACUAAAGCCCAAAGGCUAAAACUUAAUAAUCAUGGCGGCUCGUUAUAUUCAGGGGAACUUACCUACUAAACGAUAAUCCACGAGUUUACUGUCUUUACUUAAAAGCUUGUAUACCGCCGUUAAGUAUUGAGUUGAGUUUGAUACUAAAUCUUUUUAGAGAAUCACAGGUUAAGGUGCAGCAUAUAGUAAAGGAUUGGCGAGUUACACUAAAAAUUUUUUUAUCGGAGAUAUGAUUUUAAUUAGUAUUGAAGAUGGACUUGAUAGUAAAUUUUAAUUAAAAUAUAAAUUGAAUUCUAUUAAACUAGUGC
rnacentral:rRNA from 1 species